GGCGCCUAUUGUUUUGAUUGAACGUGUACACUUUGAUUUGUUGUUUGGUGAGGUUUGUUAUUUGUUUGUAAUCGGCAGCAUGGUUGUCGGGCUCGAGCGAGAGCUCCACCCGACUGUGGCGGGCAGACGUGCUCCGGAGCCACAGACCACAUCCCGGGGGACGCCCCGGGAGAAAGGGAGAACUGGGGACGCCCAGUGUUUCCUGUUUGGUGGGUUGCCUGCAGUAGGGAAAUAGACUGCAGAGACUCACAUUUUGUUUGUACUGCCGAAACUUUGGUAUUUGAUCGAGCUCGUUAGUCUUUUGUAUUUGUUAAGCAUUUUUGGGACGCCGUGAUGGCUCCCGUUUGGUAGACAUUUGUGUGGUCGUUGUAUGCUGCUUCUCUACGCUGUUUGUCUGUUUGUGUACAUUGUGUUGUCUGCUAACAUGGGCCAGACUGUGUCUACACCUUUGUCUCUAACUUUGAAUCAUUGGUCAGAGGUAAGCCACUAGGCACAUAACCUUUCUUUGUCAGUCAAAAAGGUAAAGUGGCAGUCUUUCUGUGUCUCUAAAUGACCUGCUCUCAGAGUGGAUUGGCCCCUGGAGGGCUCAUUCCAUUUACCACUCAUUAGCCGAGUGAAAGAGGCCGUUCUCCAGCCUGGCCGUCAUGGGCACCCAGACGGGGAUUUUAAGAAGACAUCGAAGGUCAGUAUUCCUUCCCUCAAGCGGGACCGGAUCUGUGGAAGUGACCGUUGAGUGUCCGGCACCCCACAGCUCUCCGAGAACGCGGAGUCCCCCCGGCCACGGCUUAGCUACGGCCGAAACUCCAGAGGGAUUGUAAGGAACGGGAGGGAAAUUAGGAAGGGCAGUUGGCUGAGAGCCUGGAGACCCCCUGAGCUCGCUUUGGCUUCCCGGCGGCCGGACUGCGACCCGAGGAUCAGGUCUCUCUCUCGGAGGGACGCCUGGUCACGCUGCCUACUGCUACGCGAGCAGGGCUUAGCUUCGGUCGAGGCUAAUAUUGGCCCUUCAGGUAAACUCAGACAACUAGGUAGUGGGUAACCUUGAGCGAUAGGAGAUUUAAAACCCCACUCAGCCCCCAGACUGAGGAGCUUUAUUGCUUUCUGCCUUCCUCCUUCUCCCAGGGGCUCCCUCCUCCACUCUUUUGCUCUCCUCAUCUCCAUUCCUGUACCACUGGCCAGGAGAAAGGGAGAGGAAAAUUCCACAGGUCUCUCCACCUAGGGAAAAGCUGUUACCUGUUACCUGUUAACCCUUUCCAACCUGGUAGAAAGUCUUUGCAGCUUAUGGUAGCUCUGGUGCGUCUUAAAGUUUUUUGUGAAGUAUUACUGUUGCUAAGCUUUGAUUGCCUAAGGACUAAAUCUGGAAAAAAGCUAAAGUUAACUAUCUGUUGUAAUUGAGUGUCUGCAGUAGUCCUAAUUAAUCUGGCUUUGGUUAAAUUAUAGGAGGUUCCUAACACUCUUAGUAAAACGGCACACUUACCCAACCCCACGGUUAGUCCUGCCAGGCCACAGUGUGUGCAGUCUUCCCUGUAAAUGGGGGACCACAGCCUUUCUCUGCACUGUAUUCUAGUUCAUGUGGCCUGCCGCACCCAGGCAGGCAUAGCCAAAUAUCUCUAGGCAGAGCCCCCACCCCAGGGUUGCUUUUUCUCUCCUCUCCUGGAGGAAUUUCCAAUUCAAUACUACUGCUGGUCUUACCUAAGGGCGCCAGAACCUUAAGCCAUUAACCCUUACCAACCUGAUGGGUUUUUCUCUUUGCAGCUAAUAAAAACCUAAACAAUGGGUUAUUCAUCUGAGAGCAUUCACCUGUCUUGAAGGUUUCGUGUUUUUCUAUUGCCAUUAGAGUCUUAAUUGCGAAAACUACAAUGCAAAGUUGUUUACAUUGUUUAUCUGUUUUUAAUGUCUGAGUGAUUACCCAACUGAUCAGAAAUGUACUAAUUUUGGCUAAAUGGUUUGACUCUCUGACAGCUUAAAUUCUAAACCGAGUCUUCCAACUUUGGGCUUCCAGUCGGAUCCCUGGAACUCUCAAAGAAUGAGACUCUAACUUUGUUAAAGUAACAGCUGCUUGGGUCAAUUCAAAUUAUAUAAAAUAUAUUAAAAUGUUAUAAAUGGUGUCAGACCUAUGCUGUAUUUAUGUUUUUGCUUUCCAGCUAAAGUGGUCUUAUAAAAAUAAGAGUAAAUUCUGUGUAUACAAGCCUUUAUGUUGUUAACUAAAGUAAGCCAAUGCAAAUUGGUUCAGAAAAUUGAGGUAAUGCAAACACCCUUCGGUUUGCUCAGUGGCUUGCUUGCUCAGUUUUACAUGUCUUUGAUAUGCUUUAAACUUGUUUCUCUUAAUGAGGAAGAUCUUUUCAAAGUUGUAAACAUACACUAGUGUUUGCUGUCCAGGAGGUGUUAUCCUCAUGUUACUUAAAAACAUAAAAAUGUAAUUUUAACUUCUAUUUCAGAUAAUGGUGUGGUAUUCAUUAAUAACUCAGUGUCUUAAGACAUCUAGGCAUCAGUGCUAAGUAAAACUUGGGAAAAUAUAUUAUAUAUACUUUUAACAUCUCAAAUUUAAUAAAAAAAAAGGUGUACUAAUGUUAGUAAAUAUCUAAAAAUGGUCUAAAUCAUAAAUCUUGGAAUCUGUUUCUGCAAAAACUGUAACGUCUAUUUUAACAGUGUUUGCUUAUUCGGUUACUCUGCCAUUUCUAGAGUUAGGUCCUGUAAGCUCUUUUUUUUUGACUCUGUUAAAUAAUCCUAAAUUAUGUAAACUCUUAUAUACAAGGUUUUUUUUUAUAUCUGGUUUAUUUGACAACAAGAGACAUAAAAUUCAUGUUAAUCCAUUGUGUACUCUACUGUCUCUGUUAAGUUAUGGUUAUGUGGAAGAUGCUAAAAAACUGGGUUCCAGAAACCCAAGAAAGCGCUAGUGUCCACAGGCUACACGGUAAAUACCCGGAAGCCAAAGAAUGGCAGAGACCUCUGCCACAAUUUCUCCUCUAAGUCAGGCUACACAGUAAACACUGGUUAAACUGCCAGUUAAAUCUAAAAGCCCAAAAAGUCAGGCUAGAGACCCAACUCACUGCCUCACUUCUCCUCUUUUCUCUUCCAGAAGGGAAGUUACUACUGUUCUGCAGGACUCUCCACUGUGAUACUAAAAGCUGUUGAACUCCAAAUGGUCAUCAGGCAAGACUUCCAGCCCAUUCCACUGGACGACUUGAGCAGCCCUCUGGACCGAGCAACACAGUCUUUCCAAGGCCACUGUUGCACACCAUAAGACAGGUAGCAAGAGGAAAUACCCAAAUCCCCCUCGACGCCCACAUGCCAGCUUCGAAGAAGUUACAGAAAACGGAACUCCAUCCAUAAUCCCAAAGAAGAAUUUUGGGUAUUACCUCUUGA